CUUGUUGGCUCUGUACGAUUAACAGUUGGAAACUGUCGACGGUCAACUUUUAACCUUGAAAAGGUUCCUCCAAACUCACCCCUUGAAGGGACACUGCUGGUACAGUUGAUGCUGAGACCUGAACAUCACCAUGAGCUUCGAGGAUUCCUGUCCAUGUUUGAAGAAGUCGGAGGAUUUGGUGCCUGGCACAGGCGUUGGUGUGUGCUUGCUGAGAACAGACUGUCCUACUGGCGCUACCCUGAAGAUGAAGGCA
rnacentral:lncRNA from 1 species